AAAAAAAAUCGAAGAAACCAACGCACUGCUCCCAGCAUGAACACUCCUUUGACAAAUGUCCAAUUUGUAGGCUUUUGUGUUGAGAGCUACCGCUUAAGAUUGAUUGUAUUGUGUGUUUUUACUCAUACAACGAAA